rnacentral:rRNA from 1 species
CACCCGCCCCCCUCCNAAUCCUAUUAUGUGCCCGGUGACUGUUUGUUCGGUUUUAGGUUGGGGUGACCGCGGAGUAUAAGAUAUCCUCCAUGAAAAAAAGCUAACUGCCCUUAUUAGAGAAAGACACUUCCAAAAAAUAAUAAAUUAAUUUUAAAUGAUCCGACAUUCGAUCAACGAACCAAGUUACCCUGGGGAUAACAGCGCAAUCCGUCCCGAGAGCCCCUAUCGACAGGCGGGUUUACGACCUCGAUGUUGGAUCAGGGUAUCCUAGUGGUGCAGCAGCUACUAAAGGUUCGUUUGUUCAACGAUUAA